UAUGAAACAUAUGCAUUACUUGGAUCUGUCUUUUGGACGUAUCAGUUGGAUGAGUAUGAGUAUCAGCAAUCAGCAGUCGGAGCUACUAAAAAC